rnacentral:misc_RNA from 1 species
UCCUCCUUACAGAGGCGGUUCGAUCCGAGUUCCCGGCAUUAUCCGCUGGCAACAGAUCGUGAGGGUUGCGCUCGUUGCGGGACUUAACCCAACAUUUCACAACACGAGCUGACGACAGCCAUGCACCACCUGUGUAGCACCCUAUUAUGGCGACUCCAUUUCGGGAGCUUGCAGCUACAUGUCAAGCCCUGGUAAGGUUCUUCGCGUUGCAUCGAAUUAAGCCACAUGCUCCACCGCUUGUGCGGGCCCCCGCCAAUUCCUUUGAGUUUCAACCUUGCGGCCGUAGUCCCCAGGCGGUUCACUUAAUGCGUUAGCUGCGGCACCGAAGGAAACCCCCCGACACCUAGUGAACAUCGUUUAAGGCCAAGACUAC